rnacentral:rRNA from 1 species
GACGAACGCUGGCGGCGUGCUUAACACAUGCAAGUCGAACGGAAAGGCCCUGCUUUUGUGGGGUGCUCGAGUGGCGAACGGGUGAGUAACACGUGAGUAACCUGCCCUUGACUUUGGGAUAACUUCAGGAAACUGGGGCUAAUACCGGAUAGGAGCUCCUGCUGCAUGGUGGGGGUUGGAAAGUUUCGGCGGUUGGGGAUGGACUCGCGGCUUAUCAGCUUGUUGGUGGGGUAGUGGCUUACCAAGGCUUUGACGGGUAGCCGGCCUGAGAGGGUGACCGGCCACAUUGGGACUGAGAUACGGCCCAGACUCCUACGGGAGGCAGCAGUGGGGAAUAUUGCACAAUGGGCGGAAGCCUGAUGCAGCAACGCCGCGUGCGGGAUGACGGCCUUCGGGUUGUAAACCGCUUUCGCCUGUGACGAAGCGUGAGUGACGGUAAUGGGUAAAGAAGCACCGGCUAACUACGUGCCAGCAGCCGCGGUGAUACGUAGGGUGCGAGCGUUGUCCGGAUUUAUUGGGCGUAAAGGGCUCGUAGGUGGUUGAUCGCGUCGGAAGUGUAAUCUUGGGGCUUAACCCUGAGCGUGCUUUCGAUACGGGUUGACUUGAGGAAGGUAGGGGAGAAUGGAAUUCCUGGUGGAGCGGUGGAAUGCGCAGAUAUCAGGAGGAACACCAGUGGCGAAGGCGGUUCUCUGGGCCUUUCCUGACGCUGAGGAGCGAAAGCGUGGGGAGCGAACAGGCUUAGAUACCCUGGUAGUCCACGCUGUAAACGGUGGGUACUAGGUGUGGGGUCCAUUCCACGGGUUCCGUGCCGUAGCUAACGCUUUAAGUACCCCGCCUGGGGAGUACGGCCGCAAGGCUAAAACUCAAAGGAAUUGACGGGGCCCCGCACAAGCGGCGGAGCAUGCGGAUUAAUUCGAUGCAACGCGUAGAACCUUACCUGGGUUUGACAUGGAUCGGGAGUGCUCAGAGAUGGGUGUGCCUCUUUUGGGGUCGGUUCACAGGUGGUGCAUGGCUGUCGUCAGCUCGUGUCGUGAGAUGUUGGGUUAAGUCCCGCAACGAGCGCAACCCUUGUUCACUGUUGCCAGCACGUUAUGGUGGGGACUCAGUGGAGACCGCCGGGGUCAACUCGGAGGAAGGUGGGGAUGACGUCAAGUCAUCAUGCCCCUUAUGUCCAGGGCUUCACGCAUGCUACAAUGGCUGGUACAGAGAGUGGCGAGCCUGUGAGGGUGAGCGAAUCUCGGAAAGCCGGUCUCAGUUCGGAUUGGGGUCUGCAACUCGACCUCAUGAAGUCGGAGUCGCUAGUAAUCGCAGAUCAGCAACGCUGCGGUGAAUACGUUCCCGGGGCUUGUACACACCGCCCGUCAAGUCAUGAAAGUUGGUAACACCCGAAGCCGGUGGCCUAACCGUUGUGGGGGAGCCGUCGAAGGUGGGACUGG